AGGAGUUUGAUCAUGGCUCAGGAUGAACGCUAGCGGCAGGCCUAAUACAUGCAAGUCGAACGCUCAGUAGCAAUACUGGGAGUGGCGCACGGGUGCGUAACGCGUACACAAUCUACCUCUAAGCGGGGGACACCUCCUGGAAACGGGGAUUAAUACCGCAUAAUAUGCCGAAGUCGCAUGACUUUGGUAUUAAAGCAGCAAUGCACUUAGAGAUGAGUGUGCGUCCCAUUAGGUAGUUGGUGAGGUAACGGCUCACCAAGCCUAUGAUGGGUAGCCGGUCUGAGAGGAUGGUCGGCCACACGGGCACUGAGACACGGGCCCGACUCCUACGGGAGGCAGCAGUAAGGAAUAUUGGUCAAUGGUGGAAACACUGAACCAGCCAUGCCGCGUGGAGGAAUAAGGUCCUACGGAUUGUAAACUCCUUUUGACGAGGAAGAAAAUGUUAGGUUUAUCUAAUUUUGACGGUACUCGUAGAAUAAGCACCGGCUAACUCCGUG
rnacentral:rRNA from 1 species